rnacentral:rRNA from 1 species
CAGUCGCCACGGUAAUUCGUAGGUGGCAAGCGUUGUCCGGAAUUAUUGGGCGUAAAGGGCUCGCAGGCGGUUUCUUAAGUCUGAUGUGAAAGCCCCCGGCUCAACCGGGGAGGGUCAUUGGAAACUGGGAAACUUGAGUGCAGAAGAGGAGAGUGGAAUUCCACGUGUAGCGGUGAAAUGCGUGGAGAUGUGGAGGAACACCAGUGGCGAAGGCGACUCUCUGGUCUGUAACUGACGCUGAGGAGCGAAAGCGUGGGGAGCGAACAGGAUUAGAUACCCCUGUAGUCCCUGUCUCUUAUAC